CUGGACCGACCCUUCGGGGAGCUUGUACAGGUGCUGCAUGGCUGUCGUCAGCUCGUGUCGUGAGAUGUCGGUUAAGUCCGCUAACGAGCGCAACCCUCGCUGUGUGUUACAAGUGUCACACGGAACUGCCGGUCAUAAACCGGAGGAAGUGGGAUGACGUCAAGUCAGCAUGGCCUUUAUAUCCCUGGGCUACACACACGCUACAAUGGGAAGGGACAAUAGGUUGCGAAGCCGCGAGGCGGAGCCAAUCCAGCAAAACUUCCCUCAGUUCAGAUUGCAGGCUGCAACUCGCCUGCAUGAAGUUGGAGUUGCUAGUAAACGCAGGUCAGCCAUACUGCGUUGAAUACGUUCCCGGGGCUU
rnacentral:rRNA from 1 species